UACGGGGGGGGCAAGCGUUGUUCGGAAUUACUGGGCGUAAAGGGCUCGUAGGCGGCCAACUAAGUCGGACGUGAAAUCCCCAGGCUCAACCUGGGAACUGCGUCUGAUACUGGAUGGCUUGAGAUUGGGAGAGGGAUGCGGAAUUUCAGGUGUAGCGGUGAAAUGCGUAGAUAUCUGGAGGAACACCGGUGGCGAAGGCGGCAUCCUGGACCAACACUGACGCUGAGGAGCGAAAGCCAGGGGAGCAAACGGG
rnacentral:rRNA from 1 species